rnacentral:rRNA from 1 species
UACGUAGGGGGCAAGCGUUGUCCGGAAUCAUUGGGCGUAAAGCGCGCGUAGGCGGCUCGGAAAGUCGGGCGUGAAAUGCCGGGGCUCAACCCCGGGACUGCGUCCGAUACUUCCGAGCUGGAGGUAGGUAGGGGAGAUCGGAAUUCCUGGUGUAGCGGUGAAAUGCGCAGAUAUCAGGAGGAACACCGGUGGCGAAGGCGGAUCUCUGGGCCUUACCUGACGCUGAGGCGCGAAAGCUAGGGGAGCAAACAGG